rnacentral:rRNA from 1 species
AUUGAACGCUGGCGGCAUGCUUUACACAUGCAAGUCGAACGGUAACAGCACUUCGGUGGCUGACGAGUGGCGAACGGGUGAGUAAUACAUAGGAACGUGCCUAGUAGUGGGGGAUAACUACUCGAAAGAGUAGCUAAUACCGCAUGAGAUCUAAGGAUGAAAGCAGGGGACCUUCGGGCCUUGCGCUACUAGAGCGGCUGAUGGCAGAUUAGGUAGUUGGUGGGAUAAAAGCUUACCAAGCCGACGAUCUGUAGCUGGUCUGAGAGGACGACCAGCCACACUGGGACUGGGACACGGCCCAGACUCCUACGGGAGGCAGCAGUGGGGAAUGUUGGACAAUGGGCGCAAGCCUGAUCCAGCAAUGCCGCGUGCAGGAUGAAGGCCUUCGGGUUGUAAACUGCUUUUGUACGGAACGAAAAGCCCUCUUCUAAUACAGGAGGGUCAUGACGGUACCGUAAGAAUAAGCACCGGCUAACUACGUG